AUUGAACGCUGGCGGCAGGCCUAACACAUGCAAGUCGAGCGAGCGGCGCACGGGUGAGUAAUGUAUGUGGACUGCCCGCUAUAGGGGGAGAACUACUGAAAACGGUAGCUAAUACCGCAUACUAUCGGCUAACCCAUCUGGGAUUAGCUAGUAGGUGAGGUAAUGGCGCACCUAGGCGACGAUCCCGAGCUGGUGUGUGAGGAUGAUCAGCCACACUGGAGCUGAGACACGGCCCAGACUACUACGGAGGCAGCAGGGGGGAAUAUUGCACAAUGGGCGCAAGCCUGAUGCAGCCAUGCCGCGUGUAUGAAGAAGGCCCUAGGGUUGUAAAGGACUUUCAGUCGGGAGGCGUUACCGAAAGAAGAAGCACCGGCUAACGCCGGGCCAGCAGCCGCGGUAAUUCC
rnacentral:rRNA from 1 species